rnacentral:lncRNA from 10 species
CCUCAUCCUUGAUACUGGGGCUGUCGGGGGGCGGUGGCUGCACCAAGGUGGUCACCUCGGUGCCCUGGAAGCCGAAGGUCAGAGGCCAGCCCAAAUCAAGCUCAGGCACGGCCUGGUCUGAGUUCACUGGCCAGUAUGUACCCGAGGAGCCAUCCAUGUCCACGUCGAGAAGGCUGCCUUCAGGUGGCUCUCGGGUAACAUACUGCGGAGGCCGAAGGUGUCGGCUCACAUGUUCCAGCUCUUCAGGGCACAGGAAGUCUGGUGCCCCCUCGGUAGCGAGGAAGCGGCUGUAGGCCUCCGAGCCACCCUCGGCCAGUGCAUCCACCGCCAGGCGGUAGUACUCUUUGUAGUGAGGCGGCAGGUACCCGGGUGCCAGUGGGUUGUCCCCCUGCGAGGAGCUCUGAGAGCGACGGGCCAUGUUGGGGCCAGGGGCCUGGAGGGGCAGGGAGACACAUGACUAGGGGUGGGGGCACUGGGACCACUCCUACCCUCGAGCAUGGACACACUGUGGAAAGGGCCGUCAGUGACUUGGGUAGGCUGGAGUUUAGCCCAUGCCCAGGAGGCCUUCCAGGGCACCAGCCGAACCAGGCUCACAGAGAGCAACCCAGACCCUAGGAUGCCCCUAGCUGAGGGGACACUGGCAGAGGGCUGGGGCACAGGUAUCCCAGCCCUGUCUCUCCUUUCUCUGGGAGGCUGAGGCAGGAGGACUGCUUGAAGCCAGGAGUUUGAAACCAGCCUGGGCAACACAGCAAGACCCCAUCUCUACAAAAAAUUUUAAACAUUAGGCAGGCAUGGUGGCGUGCACACAUAGUCCCAGGCACUUGGGAAGCUGAGACAGAAGGAUUGUUUGAGCCCAGGAGUUGGAGGCUGCUGUGAAUUAUGAUUGUGACACUGCACUCCUGCCUGGGUGACAGAGUGAGACCACAUCACUACAAAAAAUAAAAAUAAAACGAACCCCCCCCCCCAAAUAUUUCAUGACUGUUGGCUUAAAGACAAACAAUCCAGGCUGCAUUCAUCAUUAUAAUAUUCACUUUUUUCUUAUUUUAAGACAUUCACGGACCCCUGGCACUGUGCCUACUGGACAAGCUGGUGCCGCCCAUGCUGCCCAUGUGUCCGUCUCUGACUGCCUGGGAGACUGUGGGUAGGUCACUGCACCUCUCUGGCCUACCUCUACUGCACAACACAGCUGAGGGUCCACAUGACACCACGCCUAGCCCAAGUGUCCAGGCUCCAGGCUGUGUGUAAUGGGGGCAGGGACCAUCCAGACAGUGGAAGCCCCCGUGGCCAGGAGCCCUCCCAGCAGACAUGCCUCGUCCUCACAGGGUGAUGCCCAGACCUCCAACUGCUUCAUUCCUCACGUCGUCUCCUUUCAUGGGAAGUGGGGUUCCUGAGUAUCUGGAAGGAGGACCCCAUGGAAGGAUCUGGAGUUCCUACACAAAGUGGGGUGAACCUGUGCCAAGUUCCGAUGGGCGCAGGAGGGCGCGGAGGCUCUAGGCGGCGGAAAGGUGGGGUGCGGAGGACGGGGCUCACAGACCGGAAGUCGCUCAGUGAUAACUUGCGGAGUGGGCACCCCAGCCCCCAACGGGGUCAGUGCACCCUACGAGCUCGCGGCUGCGGCCGCUGGGUGCCC